UUCAAACUUGCCGGUGAGAAGAGGUUAUUUGACAUUAGCUCACUUGAUGAGUGGAGAACCCAAGCCUAUGAGAAUGCCAAACUAUUUAAAGAAAAAGUUAAAAGAUGGCAUGAUAAAAGGAUACAAAAGCGUGAGUUCAAUGUAGGUGAUUAUGUAUUGUUAUACAACUCUCGUUUAAGAUUUUUUGCAGGAAAACUUCUCUCUAAAUGGGAAGGUCCCUACGUUAUCGAGGAGGUCUAUCAUUCCGGUGCCAUAAAAAUUAACAACUUCGAAGGCACAAAUCCGAAGGUGGGGAACGGUCAAAGAAUCAAACAUUAUAUCCCAGGUAAUCCCAUAAAUUUUGAAACUAAUAAUUGA
rnacentral:rRNA from 1 species